GGGGCAUGCGCCAGGCCACCGAGGGUGCUGGCCACAGAUCUUGUCUGGAAAAUAAAGGAACAGUCAGAUUGCUUUUGGGAGGCAUCUUCUUCCUUUCACAUCUCUGAGAGCGUCUAUUUUGCCUGCGACGGAAAGUCAAGCCUCAGCUGAGAGAACCUUCUGUGUGGCACUCUGAUUUCUUUGCUAAGUAGUCUGAUUUCCCCCUCAGUAAUUUCUAUUUUUAUGCACAGUGACUCUCAAUUGGUGAGAAAAUGAUGAUCACAUAAUCUCUCUUCCUCGAAGCUGCCGAGUGAUUAGCCUCAUUUGCUGCGCGUUCCACUCCACGGCCCGGAAAUGACGCCCCUCUCCAACUCCCGCUAAGCAUGUCAGCUAGAUGGGUUUGACCUUUUCCUGGAAAACAAGGGAGAUGAGAACACGUGACGUGUGUGCAAACUGAUGCUCAAAUGGGCUAUUUUAGCCAACACUUCAAGAUACAUGCUUCGCUAAACUGGCUGAGGACACACCGGAGCGUUUCCAGUGAGGGCUUUUUAAGGCAUUUAAGAGUCUUGCUAUCUUCAAAAAUAAAGGUAUGACAGAAGAUGGCCUGCAGGAGCCGGUUCUCUCCAUCCACCAUGUGGUUACUGGGGGAUCAAAUUCAGAUUGGCAGGCUUGGUGGUACCCUUGACUUGUUUACACCCUGGGUGAUAAGAAUAAGAAGCUCCGGAUGUAGUGUCAAGAACUUCAGUGCCGCCUCUGUCGUCUGGAUCCCCGGUGAUUGAGAGACUGCAGGAAUUUUUAGAGAUAUGGACCUUAUGAUCCCUUGAGCUACUUUAUAAUCUAGCUUAUAACCUGCUUGAGUUCCUGUCCUGACUUCCUUCAAUGAUGAGUAAGGCCAUGAAAGUGUAAACCCAACAAACCCUCUCUUCUGUAAGUUGCUUUUGGUCAUGGCGUCUCAUCUCAUCAACAGCAACCCUAACUAAGACGUGUGUCGUGUGAGAAAAUGAAUAUUUUCACAGGGACUCUGAGGAAUGUUCCCAUGAACCCUGUCUACCCAGAUUGCAACUUGAAUACCGGAACACAUUGUUUGAAUACAUAAUUCAAGGUCAACGAGAAGGUGUUCCAUUGUAUGAUUUAGUCAUGAGCCACCGCUUGGAGCAUCAUCUUUCUGCCAUUAAUGAAUCGCCUUCUACAGCAGCAGGAUUAGGAAACCUUUGAACUGUUUAGAGGAGAGCCUUUGGACUGCAUCCGCCAAGCAAGAAUCAAGAAGCUCCUUCAUCGUAAGGCUGAAUCUGAUGCAGUUUUCCUGAACUUCUUUUUUCUGCCUUUGAGAGCAAUUAGCAGUGGGUUAGUCUUCAGUAACUAUAGCUCACAGAGGGGCCAAAGGGUCUCACAAUGGAUCUGGGGCUAGGCUGGCUGCCAGAAAACCCCGGGAAUCCUCCAGCAUUCACCUGCUCUCGGCAUUGGGGUUAUAGGUACACAUGGCCACACGGAGCUUUUUCUCUCAAAGAUCAGUGAGAUAAUUUGCAAGCAAAAUCUCAGCGCUGGGAGACAGGUUAGAGAAGGAUGUAGAACCCCCACAGGCUGGGCACUGAGUUGGUGAUUGAAUGGAAAAGGGAUAAACUCCCAGGGGACUUAGACCCAGGCCCAGAUGUAGGGAGUUACUGGGUAAAGCUAAGCAAAAGCAAUCAGUUUGUGUGUGUGUGUGUGUGUGUGUGUGUGUGUGUAAGCACAAAGAAUAUGUUUUCUUUUAUGUAAAUUGGUGUGUGUUUGUGUGUUUAUGUGUAAGCACACACAUAUGAACUGGUGCAUUUUGGGUUCAUCUAGAUGAUCUUAAGAAUAUAUUUUCUUUGAUGUAAAUUGGUAUCUAGCAGCCAGUGAUGGGAAAACGUCUCCUCCAUACUCAGCUUUGUCACCCAACCUCUUGUGAAGACAGGAUGGAGCCCAGAUAGAGGCCUCGUGCUGACUCCUUGUGCAAAGAGAGGAAACAAGGGUCAAUGCUAAAAAGUGAAACACUGGAUUAAAAUAUGAAUCUGCUCUCUAUCAAAUGCUCGUGCAGUCUUUAAAAGAGAGGAGACAGAGGAGACAUCAAAGAGGAGAGGAUCUGGAAAGGAGAGGAUCUGGGAGGAUCGAGUCUAGAUCACAAGGGAACAUACAGCCAGAAGCCAGAGAGCUUUGAAUCUUUGAAGGACGGAAACCCCCUUUGCUGUUGGAAGAUGGAGAAGGUGACAAGAAGCACAGGCAGCCAGAAUAUGUCACGGCUCUUAAAAAUAUUUAUUUAUAGGAAAGCUAUAAACCCAUGUUUAAAUAAACUCUGUUCUUGGUCAGCUUUUC
rnacentral:lncRNA from 1 species